rnacentral:lncRNA from 1 species
GCUACAGCUUCUCGUUUUUUGUGAAAAAGAUGAUACAGUAACUUCACUACUGUAGAACUUAUUUAUCUUUCUCUGUGUAACAGCUAUUAGUGAAGUCCCAAGGUCUAUUUGGAAGCAGAAACACAACUGUCCUGGGCCUGACCGGAGGAGAGUUUGGCUUCGGCUGCUGCCCUCAGCACGUUGGCAGAUCCUCAGACGCCGUCGUCUCUCCCUCCAUCGUCUUCUCACAUGCGAGGCCGAGCCAAGACGUGCUUCUGUCAACCUCCACAGCUCCGUGCCAUCAGCUGUGGGCCUCCCACUCUGACUACAGCCGACAGGGCCUUCCUCCAUCCGUUUAGGCUCGUUGGACAUAGUCGUUGUGAGGUUUUGGGGCUCAGAUGGAAGACACAUAGCACAGAGGUGCUGAAGAAGACGCGUUGUAAUCACAAAGAUGGAGGGAUGAUGUCAAUCACAGCAUCUACAGCGCAUGGAGGCCUCAAUGCAGCCAGAAUUGAACGAUCCUCGGUGUCAGAACAGGAGCCACCCUGCUUCUGCUUAGUCUGGAAACCAUUUCCUUUGCAGUCCGAUGGUCCCGACGUUGAUCUUGAGGACAGUCACUGGUGGAGUUCGUAUAUUUAUCGAAGCGCCAUCUCUCAUCUGAAUCCACGCCGUUUUCUUCACAAAAUUCCCGCCAGCUUGUUCGACCGAUGUCAUAGGAAGAAACACGUCAAGUCUUUAACAGACUCUGCACUGGGGCAGAUGAAUGCUGAUGAGUUUUGCUGUGUUUGGCUACUUUAAUGAAAAACUUGAUUUCCCAGAACCCCCCUCUGUAUGUUUCUCCUCGCAGAUCUCUGCCCAGAGUCUCUGCGCCUCAGCCAGCGCCAGGAGCUGCCAUUUGGUUUUGUUUGUAGAGUGCUCAUGGCCAACUGAACCAACAAGUUGUCUGAUUAAAAUGAAAAUGGG